AGAAACUUAUGUUAAAUACUAACCCAGGGCCUUCAAAGCCCUAAACAGAGGACAACUCCCCUA
rnacentral:tRNA from 1 species